rnacentral:rRNA from 1 species
ACAUACGACCAUAGACUGAGGAGAAUUAGGCAUCCCGUCCGCUCUGCCAAAUACAAGCCUCAGAUCGGUAGAUUAGUAGUUGGGUGGGUGACCACCAGCGAAUACCUACUGUUGUAUGUU